CUUCUCUUUUUCCAGCCCUGCCCCAGGACCCCUUACAUGAGGACGGGGGUAGUGGAGGGGAAGUUGGGUGGUUUGGGGAAGGUGGCCCCCAAUCCCAAUUUCAGCACUGCCACACUCUGCUGUGCCAACUAUGAAGUUUACUUUGGCUCAGGCACCUGGCUCACCGUGGUGGAUGACUUGCAAAUGGUGAAGCUCCCAAAGGUGACUCUGUUUGACCCAUCCGAGGAGGAGAUCAAUGAGUUGGGGAAGGCCACCUUGGUCUGCCUGGCCACGGGCUUCUUCCCCGACCUCGUGGAGAUAAGCUGGUGGGUGGACGGCCAGGAGACGAAGGAGGGGGUCAGCACGGAUGCCCAGCCCUUGAACUACACCGAAACCGAGUCUUCGAUCAGGACUUAUGCCCUGAGCAGUCGCCUCCGCGUCUCAGCGGGGUUCUGGCAGAACCCCUGGCGCCGCUUCCGUUGCCAGGUCCACUUCUAUGGGCUCCAGGACAAUGACACAUGGACUGACAACACCCGGCCCAAGCCUGUCACUCAGAACAUCAGCGCUGAGACCUGGGGAAAAGCAGAUUGUGGAAUCACCGCAGCAUCCUACCAGAAGAGCGUCCAGUCAGCCACCUUUCUCUACGAGAUCCUCUUGGGGAAGGCCUUGGUCUAUGCAGUGCUGGUCAGCACCCUGGUGUGGAGGGCCAAGGCCAAAAAACAUAUUUUAUAAGAUGAUCACCAUCCCCGGCUCUCUCCCUCGGUGACAGAAGAAGGGGGAGAUCCCUGGACAUUCCCUCCAACCUGGCUCUGCUGCCCUCGCCCAAGCUCCCUCACCCCCCAUCCAAGUUGUUACCCCACCUCCAGUCCAGACCCUUCUCCCAGCAGUGUCCAGCCAGUCGCCUUUCUAUCUGACUGUCCCCCUGGUUGUCCAUCUGUCCACCUGUCUGCCUGCCUGUCGUCUCUUUGUCUUCCUGUCUUUCUGAAAGGAGGGGCAAAUCUUGACACAAUAAAGGGGCUUUGGCUGCCUCAGUUGGACCACGA